GGGCUCCCUGACUGGCUUCCCGCUGAUCUGGCACCAGCCGGGCCAAUCAGAGAGAGCCGCCAUGGGUCCGUCAAAUAUAGUCCAUGAGCACGUGUGGCGUGGUGGACACUGAACCCUCUGGCUUGUCUUGGGAGACCAACAGCACCUGGUCCAGACAUGGAGAGUCGGAGGGUGUCAUAGCAGUGGGGAGUGGGCAGAAGAGACAACUUAACUUAGAGCUCGCUCAGGCAGAGAGGCAGAGGGAGACAUAGACUGACACACACACACACAGAGACAGACUGACAGUACUGACGGUGAGAGAGAGAGACGGACAGACGGAAACGGAGCGAGACAGCGGUAGAGGAAGAGGAGCAGGACCUCAGCUUGUGGGUUAUCGGCUACAGUGUAAGAAGGACGCCCCGCUGAGCUGCAGGACUGACUGAUAGAGCCUCCAAGGGUUCAGAGAGCACAUUGAACCAGAGCAAUAUGGAGGUCAGAGUUCACCGAACACGAGCAGCAACGUUUUACUCCAUUUGUCAACUAUUUGCAGUUCUCUGCGGACCUUUACUUCAUGUCCAGGGUCAAG